CUGCACACCUGGUUGAGCUUGCUUCAGUGGUGCCUGUCCCAAGAGCCCACACUCCUUGGGACGCUGGGCCUCACUGGGCAGGGGCAUGGACCACAACAGGUGCGGUCUCCAGCAGCCCCCGUCAGCCUGGGCCCGCUGGUUGCCACGGACUUGCCUCUGUGGGCCAGCUGAUAGGGAGAGGUUUGUGGGGGCUUUGGGCCCCAAGGCUGCUGCUCAGGGUGUCCUGCUGUCCCUUACUCUGUGCGCCAGUCCCUGAAGAGGAAGGAGAAGGAAUAUGAGCAUGAAAUGGAGCGGCUGGCACGUGAGAAGAUUGCCACGCAGCAGCGGCUGGCAGAGCUCAAGCACGAGCUGAGCCAGUGGAUGGACGUACUGGAGAUUGACCGUGUGCUGCGGCAGACGGGCCAGCCCGAGGAUGACCAGGCCUCCACCUCCACCGCCUCUGAGGGUGAGGACAACAUAGACGAGCAUAUGGAGGAGGACCGGGCGGGCCUGGGCCCACCUAAGCUGAGCCAUCGUCCCCAGCCGGAG
rnacentral:sRNA from 1 species